rnacentral:rRNA from 1 species
UUUUAAUUUACUAUUUAAUUUUUUAGGUUUACGUUUUUUGUUAUUUUAUGAUAAAAUUUAUUUUUGUUUAUUUUUGUAUUAGUAUUAUUUUAGAAAGUAUAAUUUAAUUUUAUAGUUAAUUUUUACAUUGAUGGAUUAUUGAAAUAAUUUAUUUAUUUUGUUAUUUAGUGAAAGAGGAAAAUUUUUUUGUAUUUUGUGUAUCAAAGUUUAUUAAUUGGUUUGUUUAAAUUAUCUGUUCUCGAAUUUUAAAGAGAUAGAUAUUUUAUAUGUUUAUUGUGGAAUAAAUAUUUUUUAUUUUUAUUUUGGAGUAAAAAGUUAUUCGGUUUGGAAUAUAUCUAGUUUUUGAAUUUAAAAUUAAAUUUUAUUUAUUAAUUUAGUAUUUGAUUUAUUUGUUGGUUUUUUAUUAUUAAUAAAUUAAUUGUAUUUGGGAUAAUCUUGAUACUGUUAUUUUAUAUAUUUAUUGAUGUUUUUAUUUAUUGGUAGGAUUUAAAUGAUUAUAAUUUUUAUUUUUGUUUAUAAUAAAAAUUUUAUUUAGAGUUUGAAUAUUUAAUUUGGGAUUAAUUUUUUGGUUUGGGGGAUUUAUUUAAUUUUGUAUUUAAUAGUUAUAAUGAUGAAAUUAGUAUUGAUGUAAGGUAUUUAAUUUUGGGAUUAUGGUCUGGUAAUUAAGUUUAAUUAAUUUGGCAAUUUUUUAUGUUCAACUGUUUAUCAAAAACAUUUUUUUUUGAUUUUAAUUUAAAGUAGGGUCUGCCCACUGAAUUUAUUUUUGAAGGGCUGCAUUUAUAUGUACUAAGGUAGCAUAAUAAAUAGUUUUUUAAUUGGGAACUGGAAUGAAUGAUUUAAUGAAAUAUAAGUUGUAUCUAAUUUAUUUUUAGGAAUUUUAUUAUUUAAUGAAAAGGUUAAAUUUAAAGUGAAAGACGAGAAGACCCUAUAGAUUUUUAUUGGAGUAAUUUUAUUUUUUAGAAUUAUUUUUAGUUUGGUUGGGGUGAUUUUAAAAUUGAUUGAACUUUUAAAUUUAUUUUUAUUUAUUGUUUUAUAUUUAUUUUUAUGUUUGAAAUUUAUUUUUUAUUUAUUUAUUUAAGUUACCUUAGGGAUAACAGCGUAAUUUAAAUUUUAAGUUCUUAUUGAAAUUUGAGUUUGCGACCUCGAUGUUGGAUUAGAAAUUAUUUUGGGUGGAAAAGCUUGAAUUAUUUAGUCUGUUCGAUUAUUAUUAUUCUACAUGAUCUGAGUUCAAACCGGUGUGAGCCAGGUUGGUUUCUAUCUUUACUUAUUAGUUAUUUUUUAGUACGAAAGGAAAAUUUAUAUUAAAUGUUUAUUUUGUAUUGAAUUUGAUUAUAAUUAAUUU